GACGAGAAAGUGAGAACGCGUCGACAAAGCGCAGACUUCGCUAUUCGGCACUUCGUGCGCUGAAAGCGAUUCUUUAUAACUUUCCAAGUUUCGUUCAGCAGCGCUGUCACUAGAGGCUAACGCACUUCGUUGUUUGGCCGAUAGGACGACUUCGCCAGUGAAAUUUGGUCGUAUUAUCAGUGUCUGCCAUUUACAAUUUAGUUUAGUUUUACUUUGGACUUCAUCAUUAAUGGUUGAAUAGUGGUUAUGAACGCGCGCUUAACUUGGUGUUAGUGCACAUAUACGUAUAUAUGGCUAUUCUUGAGAAUAUAAGCACAAAACGGAUAAAAAUUUCUUGUUCAAAGUUGAGGGAGGAAAUAUCUUUGUAGUGUAUUAUAAAGUUGAACGCGACAUUACUGCAAGAAUAUGCUUGAGCAGCUGUAUUGCAAUCGUGUUAACUUAUGUAACGGAAGAAAGUAAUAUAAAUACUCGUGGUAUUAUUUUUGUAUAAAAUGUAAAAUGUUACAAAAUAAAAUUAUAAUCCGCAAAGGAAUCUAAGCAUUUCGAAAGAUUUCGGGACAUAUCAGAAAAUCAGCUCCAACAGUGAAAGUGUGACACAAUUUUUGUAGAAAUUAAAAAUGUUUUUCAAACUAAGUAAAAAAUUUCAACAAAACAACGAAGCAUAGUAACAAAAAAGAAACGCAACUGAAGCUUUUUAUAUAAUAAAUUAAUUUAGCAAAUUUUAAAAAGUGCUGAAAAUUAGAAACUCGUAAAAAAUUUUUAUAUUUUUCUGCAACAGUGUGUAGUACAUACACACCGUUAGUUAAUUAUAUAAUAAUAACUAGGUGCUAAAUUAAUAAACUAAAUUCUUAUUUCCACACAUUUAUAUCAUAUUCGAAAGAAAGAAUCCGCUGUAGAAUGUUUAACUAAUUGGUAUAUUGUAUUCGUCUACUAAUAUCCGGUAAUUUAAAAAUAAAACCUUAAAAUAUACAAGCACAGCGAACGCCACAGCUGCUUUUCCAUACUCCCUUCUGAUGCUUCGUAGACAAGUGAAUUACACUCAGUGGAUGCAAACAAAUACAAAUACUUUUAAAGUUACGACAAUAAUUAAAUUAACGCGUCAAAUAUCGGGAAAAUGUUGUAACAAUACCAAAUAUCUUGAAUCAGUCGCCCAACGAAUCAUACUUUUUGGACAAUUUUAAACAUCAGAAACACGCACGGAGUCGCAAACAAUAAAAUCGGCGAACACGGCUAGUUUUGUUUAAGUUUUAUAUAAACGGUGGUGUUUGCAUUGCGAUUAAGCAACUUUUAACUAUCCACUGACUUAUAUAUCUAUGCAACCUUAAUGACUGAAAACUUGCAGUCCCAACCCCACACUAUAGUUUGUACGUGUGACCUCAAAUCAUCAGUAUUCAUUUAAGGUUAGGCUGAUCCUUAAGGCGGUGAUCGCACUUGUCAACCAAAAAAAACAAAACUCCUUUAUUCGACCAUAUAGGUCGACAAAGCGCCUAGAAGUCUACACAAGUCUGCUUAGUUAUUUAAUUCUAUUUCCACCAGCUCAAUAGGAUAUCUGAAAGUAUAAGCUCCCAAGUAUUUAAGCGUUGAGCGAACAGUAGGCAAGCGUUUACUGAGAGUAAGGAGCUCACUGGCGCUUUUGCGAUCAAUUUGGAUUCAAAAGGAUUUUGCGGCAAUACAAGAACCGAUGAUUGCCCAGCGGUGGCCAAGCUCCCGUGAAGCCCAGCUACCCGGUAGUAGUACGCACGAAGAGUGCCGAGCUCCGACCCGUUCCCAUUCUACUGACGACGAGGCUAAUAUGUCUGUCGCUCAGCAGCUUUACAGUUACCUGCGAUUGUGUUGUGGCCUGGCAUCCAUACUAGUUUAAUCACAAAGUGACUCAAUGGCAUUGAUAACAAGGUUAGGAGGCAUUCCAUAACCAGCCUUGAAUGCACGGUUAGUGGACUCAAGACAUUCAACUACAAACAUCGACAGUAACCCGAAUAGUACCGACGGUGGCUCUAAACAUUGUGUCCGUGGUGGUGUGUAUACCAUAAAUGCAAUAGACCAAACAAACAUAAAUCUACAUAAAUAAAUACUAAACAAUAAUUAUUUCUCACAUUUUAGUCGAUUUUCUUUCACUAAAACACCUCGAAUGCCCUCCUCACAACAAGUCAAACAGAUACCAUUAUGUCCAUAGCAGAGCAAAAGAUUAUCACAUGAUAUUCUUAACAUAAAUGUUUAUGGGAAUUGAAGAUAAAACUUACAGCCAUUGACAAAGCUGCUUUAAAAAGGUAAUUAGAUUUCUACCUGGCGGUUGAAAUGUCGUCGUGCAGAUGCAUUAAUGCUGGUAUUUUGGAUUUGUACUACACGCUCGCCAAAAGACAAAACAAUGGCAAUUCGGGGGUUUCACCUUCAGUGGAUUCGUCAAACGCCUUCUCUUCCAAUCAUAACUCACGUGUUAAUGCGGGUUACUUGACGUUUCUUCUUCAAGGGUUACUCAUGUUACUUAGGAGACCCGAAUGUCUGCGGAAAUUGACGCAUUACUUAAUAUAGCGUAGCAACCAAAGUACUCCGCAUUGUAAUGGCAGGAUCUCAAAUUUUGACAACUUCAGAUAAUGUAUCUUUGGAAGUUUAAGAGAAGAUAAACUAGUGGUGCCUCUGAAGAUAUAAAGCAUAAGUUGCAGUAACAAAACAAAAGUGUUCUGCAUUAAUAAUACUACAUGGGGAAACAUCUAGUUUCCAUUUAAUGGCCAACAUACGAUUUGAAGAUACAACUGUCAUAUUGCGCGAAUCCGUCCAAAUAUCAUAAAGGAGUUAAAAACUUAAAUAUAUAUCAGUGAGCACUAGAUGACGGGGUUUCUGAACAAAAAUGACAACGCAGAUUCACAUAAAACGAGUUGUACAGCCAAAGCUUUUAAUAUUGAAUUGGACAAAAGGAAUAUGCAGAAAGUAUUACUAAAAUAUGUUUAGUUAAGCGUGAUUGUUUGGAUUUGUAUUAUAUCCAGAUAUAUGAAUGUAUGUUUGCAUGGAAAUAUGUACAAUUUGUAUAUAAAAUAUGAUUUAUCCCUGUA